CGGCUCCGGGCCACGUUAUUAAUUUACUUGCAAGUUCCAACGCACAGAGCUGUUAUCAAUUAUUUUAUUAAUUGUUACGGCGUAGACGGUCGCUGUACCGAACUUGGGCCGACAUUUUUGCGGCCAAAAAACGGAUAGUAAAAAGUGCAGUCGAAAGUGAAACACAUGUGUACACAGUUGAAAUAUUAUUACGGCCGAGAGCACCGUUGCGCACGACGUCUCAUCGUAUUGAACGGUAGCGGUACGGCACGUAGUAUUGUUUGGGGUCGAGCAGCCGUCUUACGUAACACACCUAGGACGGCAAUAACGAGUUAAUUCCCUCUAAACAACAACACUGCUCUGUUCGCUUUUGUCUGUGCGACUCGAGUACAAAACAACGUAACAAACCAAAAGGAGCCGUGACGCAACGGCCGGUGACGAGCGUUUUUAAACAACGACACUCUGUCAAGCGUUUUUGUGGACGGCCAAUCAUUUGAUCGGCCGUUGUUACCUCGUCGGAACAAUAUCCACGAGAUCUUACGGGCUGGUGAACCAUCGGAACGCGAUCGUGAGCAGUUACGUUUAGAUCACGGGCGCGUAACAAGAGCACACACACUCUUGUUGUUGUACAGACUGCGCGCGUGUGUUUCUUUGUUGGCGCGCGCUUAAUAACAAUUGUCUAGACACGUCUCCUCUACGGAGCACUUGCUGCUCGCCGACGUAAGGAACGUACCCAGCCCGCGCACCGCCAAACAAUCGACUUUCAAGCACGCGGUUGUUUUUUUCUCGCGAUUUCACUUUUGGCUUGAAAAACCGUUUCAUCGCCGUGUUGACCGAUAAAAAACCUACUCGGAGCUCGGCCGCUGUCAUUGAAAACGGCUCAUGCGAUUCCAUUUUAAUACGCUUAUAUUUCUUAUGUGAAUACGCUCGCCACCGACGUUUUUGCCACACGAGAUCUUAUGCGCUUAACGAAUGCUAAACGACAAUCACGCGACUGUCCGCGUCGUCAAAAACCUCAAACGAACCACCGACGACCGUUAAUCGCGUAAAAAAACGUCGAUAAAAAAUCUGGAAACCGUCGUAAGUAAUCGAAACGUCGAUUUCUGUUUUACGGCAGUCACGUGACGCGAUUAAUUUUCAAACAAAUAAAGAUAACGUCGGAGAUAUCAGGCGCCGAUUGUUUCUCAUUACUGUUGCGACGUUCACGUAACGCGUUAAAAAGCGACGAGGGAACGUAAAGAGUACGAUUUUCGUCGAGCAAUUAACCACUGCGGUGUUUGUUGACACGAUGUCAUUGUCAGUUCAGUGUGGUGAUUCGCUACUAAGCGUUUUAGCAAAUUUCGAACGGCAAUAUUGAAGUGUUGAUAUUGGUGGCGUUCAUCUAGAAAAAAAAAAAAACGUUUGUUAUCGCGUUAUUAUUUGUAUAUAACGCACACUUUUUACGGGAGCCGCCGAGACAUUCAGUGGUGGCCAAAGUGUCGGAGCGAUUUACAUUACUGUCAGCGCGCAAUAUAAUCGCGAGUAGUGUUUUCCCACUUGUUGUGACCCGUUUGCCGCAAUCGCGGACAAUCGAUAUCCGAGACGCAUUAAUUUAUUCCAUCGCCACUCCAACGACCAAAUCCGAAUGUAAGAACCGAUAAAAAGUAAAAGAAAAUUUGCUGCUCGCCGUAGGUUUGCAAACAAAAGCAAGUGCGGACGACAACCGCGCGCUACAGUCGGUAGUUUAUGUGGAUUUCAGCGUUUUUUAAGAACGAGGAGGGUCUUUGAACGUAUCGGUCGGACGCUUUGACAGCGCAAUUAAAAUCGAUUUUGCCAAUACGCUCACGGCUACCUAUCGGUAACAACUCGAUCAUUUCACUUGGGCUUUUCGGUUUGGAUACAACUAACCGUUAUCUCGUAAACAAUCAUCCGCCGAGUUUCCCACGCCGGACAUUGUAGUGGGAUUGCUUUUCAUUGGACGGCGACCGGAGAGAGAAACACGACAAACUGCUGAUGAAAUGGAGUUCGCCGGUUUCCACGAAGACCGUUUGGGACGUCAGUGCACUCGAUCGCAUUUGCCCUACUUACGGUCGACCAGCUCGUUUCGGGCCAAGACAAAAAAAUCGUUUCGAUACCGUUCAGGGAUGUCGUGUCUCCCGGAGGAUGCGUUCGUUCAUCUGUAGGUACACGCCAACAGAAAUCGAAAGAGAAAAAAUAUAAUCCAACGGAAACGGCAAUUUGAUUUCGUCCGGCCGUAACGUACGCCGAGCAUUUUUUUUAUUUCGCUUUGGCAACGCUAUUAUUCCGUGGAAAACGUCGACGUUCAAUUAAAACGAAACGUUCUGCUGCGACACACGAUGCACACACAAUUGGCCGAAUCCCAAGGGUAUAAUAUUAUUAUUAUGUAGCAACGGGAGAUUGUCGGCCGAUAACGCGGUAAAAAAAAAAACACAUUUACUGAUUCGACGAGUACGCCGUGUCGCCCGCACGUAAUGUAUUCCAACAACGACAAACGCGCAGGCAGAUGAUCGCCGUAAAAAUAUUACUCGGAUUGUAAUUAAUUUUGAAUCUCCGACGGGCAGCCGAUGCACUCAACACUAACCGGUCGUGAAUCUCGGCGCACGGAAUUUUUUUUGUCGAGUGAAAGCUUAUUUAUAUUAUUUUUUUUUGGCCGCCGCCGGAGUUUGUGCACUUAAAACGGUGUUAGGCGCCGCAUUGCGUUUUCCUGCAAUCAGAAAACGUUGAAAAAUAAUCUAUUGUUUAGCCAUUGAAUAGUAUGUAUAAAACAACGAAUACGCCGGUGCCGAGAAGUUCCUUUUUUUUUUUUAUCGUGUACGCACGCCGUUCGUAGCGGUAAAUCGAUAAUGUAAUUUCUAAUAAUGUUGUACUUGGAAGUCUUCUAUAACUGGUACUGAAAUCAAUCUUUAGCCUCGCGUUCAUAUGUAUACACAUAUUUGUUAUUGAACAAUUAAAUUGCAUCUCCGCGCAAACGCGUUACCGGCGGGUCGGUAGUGUCGGCGCUACACGAGUUUCACUUACAUGAGAUUUCACUUUUGUUGCAACGGAUUUAUGGUAAUUCCGAAUCAAUGUGGAAAAAUAAAAAAUAAGCCAUGUCGAGUUACAAUUCGACGCUUCCUCGUCCGCAUUAGCACAUAGGCUUCCUUUUUCCAACACAACACCGUUAAAAAGAAUGGCAAGUGUCGCGUGUACAAACGCACUAAAGUCGUAGUAAUACGAUUCGACGGGAGCACACACAGAAUAUUCAACAAAAAAAAACAAUUAUGGAAAAUGGCUACUGAAUUCGCCUAAUUUUUAUCCGACAAAACACUGAAACCGCCUUCUCCUGUUGAAUAAUCAGAAAACCGUUUCCUUAUUUAGGGCGCAGUCGAAUUCCAAAUGUAUUUUUUAAACAUUAAUACGAAUGUCGUGUGAACGUACUGGCUGCUAUGCAAAUAUCAAUGUUUAAUUAACUAAUUGUAGACAAGCCCGUUCUUUAAUAGACAAAUUAGAAAUUCGGAUUGGAUUAUAGCAAAUCCAAAAUGUUUUUUGCAUUAAUAUUCACUCAUUAUUUAUAUGUAAAUUAUCAAAUGGAGUCACGUCCACUGGUCACCAACAAAUAAAUAAAUUUAAAAACUCAAUUAUACGGACACACGAUGGAAGCACAGCAUGGAACGUCGUAGUCAGUUGUUGUCACACAGCAAACGGUUAUGACAAUUAUUAUAGUGCUAAAAAAUAUUUUCUGUUGGGUGUCCUUCGGACAAAUUUUAGCAGUGUUUACGCUCAUCGUCACGUAAUCUAGCAGUUUUUAAUUUUAAAACGAGAAAAAUGUUGAGAAACGCCAAAAUGGGAAAUCGCUUUUGGUUUAAGUUAAGUGUUACAAAACUAUUAAACAUAAUGUUACUACUCAGUUUUUACGCUUCAAUACAGAAAUGUACAUUCGAAAUCGUUUAGAAAUAGUAUAGGUAGUUGAUAAUUGUGCCUAAAUCAUCAAAAGCCUUGGGAUUUAUUAAAUAAUAUUAUUGCACUUGUGUUUAGAGGCUAAAACGUUUGUAGUACCGAGUUAAUGGCGGUUAUUUAGCAAUUGGUUAAUGUCCACGCUAACUUAUUAUUAAUUAUCAUUUUAACGCGUUAAUUGAACAUUACACGAUAAUAUAGUGUUUAAAAAUCGCACAUAAAAUACGAUAAAUAUUUCAAUGGGUUUGAUAUAAUUACUGAUAGCCGAUAGCAAAUAAGAGCGACGUGUUUUACCAAAGCAAAAAAUUAUCAAGUAGCUAUUUUGCGCAAAGUGUAACUGAUUGAUUGUGAAAAAAAAAUUUUACGGGUGUCGUCAUCAACAUAGAACUCUGAAAAUAGCGUUUGGCCAAACAAGAUAAUAAUAGUGCUGUGUGUGUUUUCACUACUAGAAUAUACACUAAUGUAAAUUAUCUUUUAUUAUUUAUAUUAAGUCGCUUUUGUUUAAUAAUUAAUAACGAACAAAAGAGGAAAAAUGUACAUUACUAAUAUUCUUAUUGAGUUUCAACAGCGUUGGAAUAAUUUUCACAACCUUAUAAAAUUGUAAUUAUUAAACUAUAAUAGUGUCUCGAUUAUGAUUAUUACAAUUACGUUUAUUAAAAACGUAUUAAUUAAUGUUUUUGUGUGUCGGCGAUAAAAGUGAAAUAAUAGACAACGUUUUUUUCUACGUGUUCAACAACAGCAUAUUUGUUUUUCAAUGAUUAUGUAAAAACAAAAAAAAAAACAUUGUGACAAAGUGUAUCUCGCCGGGAUGCAAUGUGUGUUCGUGAUAAUAUAAUAACAAUUCAUUUUUUUUCUUUCUCGUGUGUUCACAAAGAUAUUAAAAAGCAAAGAAUAAAAAAAAAAAAGAAAACACUAUGACCGGAGAGAGAACAUACACUGCGUUUGUGUACACGUUCUUACACUCUACCCGUGUAAUAACUAUUGUACAUCAGUUAUUCUUAAGUAGCAUUGCACCUGGCCGGCGCUCAUUUUUUUACUUUUUUCCUAACAAUAAUACCUAUAGGAAAUUCGCCUUUGUAAAUACAAAAAAUAAUAGACAUGUGAUCUUAUUUAACUAGCAUUUUUCUAAAUUAUAAUACACUACUGUACAAUAUAAAUUUUAAUUUUCUAUCGUUUUGAGAAUUUUUUUUAGCUUGUUGUCAACCUUAGCGACUACGUCCGUGAAACCGCUGAAAAUGUCAUGAAUUAUCACAAACAUGUCAUAGCAAUCAAUCAUUAUUUAUUCACUUAUUAGAGGAUUUGCAAAAAAAAAAACCAUUCGAAGCUUAUGGAAAACCAAGUCCUCACAACCGCAGAGAAACGCAAAGCAUUGUGAGAUGUAUGCGCGUGGACAAAUUUUAUGUAACGUCUUGUAUUUGUACUGCUGGUGAUUUUUCGAGUGUAAUAAACAAUACAUUGAAAAUAUGAGAAGUGCGCGUGGUUCUAUACAUUUCUUAGUUUGAGUUGAUAUUAACAAAAAACAACCUUAAUCUCUGAUCGCUUGUUUACGCGAAAAAAUCGAGUCCGUUUAAGUGUACAAUGUUACUACAUGACAAGUACUCGUACGCAGAGAACAGUACAAAUGCAUAGGACGCGCAUAAUAAUAAUGUUAUGAGCAAAAUAGUGAAAGUAAAAAAAUGAAGAAUAAAAGAGGCCAAAUUAAUUUUAAGAAAAAAACGUGUGGAACGGAUAAUAAACUAAAAUGAAAUGUCGAUGCGUAAAAUACUACGAGUAGCGGUAAUAUGUUAUUGUGAACACUUUAUUACACAGUAUUUAUUAUUUUUACACGUCUAUUACUACACUCUGGUCGAUUGCUAUCACAUGACUAAUGCUUAUUGUUGUUAUGGAAGUAACAAUAUAAACUAAUAAUUCAUAGCAUUGUUUUCUGUUGAGCUUAAGAAGUCAUUUGUAUUUCAAAGCGAGCCGUCUGGCCAUUCGAAAAAAUCAUGUUUUCUUUAGCUCUCGAGUGUAAUAUCAAAACACAAAGUUCAGUAACCACAUUAUCAACGGGCAUGUGAAAUAUGAUACCAAAAUAAUGAUAAACAGAACGUGUGGUGAAGACGUUUGCCAAAUACUGUUAUGAGAAUAUUUUAAUAAAUAUCAACGUUCUUGAAACCUUUGAAAGCUUUAAAAAAAAGCUGCCGUCUUUGUGUUUUGAGGGCUGAAUGCCAAAAUCAAAGGCUUUUCUUCCAUUUCCGAACAUUGUGCAAACUAACAGUUAGCUGGUAACACCAUCUGCCCGUUUAGUAGGUCUACGAAAAAAGAAACAAUUUUAUUCAAUAAAAAUCCAGCGGACUGCCUAAAAUUAGAGUUGUCUAGCAACACAUAGUUAUGUUUAUUUUUUUUUAUAUACGAGCACAGAUAAUCACGAUGGAAUAUUGUGUGAAGUAAAAAAAUAUAUAAUAUGUAUUAUAUGGUUAGUUUUAUUGCUGUUAAAAUCGCUUUGCCUAUCGUUUUACGUUCUGAUAAUGUUGUCAUGGUCGAAAUUACAACUAGGAAAUUUUGGAAAAUAGUCAUCAGUGCUCUCCUGUCCUAACCUGUUUAUUUAUAUUAUUCAUGAUAAUAAACUUAAUUGACAAUAAAUGACUGCCGCAGUACUGCAGUAUAUUUAUGGUGACGCUUUUGUGGGCUGAUUUCACAGGAUCUCAUCGAGUGCAUUUCAGGAAGGUCGUUCGACCACACCCCUGUUGAUGCCACUGCUGUUAUCUGUAUCAACGAAGGCCUAGUGUGCACUUUUAAAAUAAUUAGCAAACGCUUUUGCCGUACUCGUGGUCGUCGAAUUGAAAUAAAAAAAAAAAAAACAUAAGCGUUGUUUCUGAUGUCGAAAACAAUCAUUUGACAAGUGAAAUAUUGUGGUUAAUGCUCAUUAGAAACGACGAUAUCAUCAGACCGAGCUUUUAUUUGAUAACGAAUAUUAAAAAUCAUUUCAUUUGAAACACUACAACAUUUUUUGCGGUUUAAUGGCAAAAACGCGUGUGCUUUUCACAGUGAUAUUUCGUGUUAUACCCUCGUUAUGUUCAAAACACACACACACACAUUGCCAUGAAAUUUAGAAUGAUGAUGUUCUAUUUAGUUUUUAUUACGCACUGAAUAAUAUAAAUCGAUUACUAUCACAUAACGUAAGUGCACGUUCUGCGUAAAAUGAUAAUAUAAUGAAUAAUGACCACAGGUGGAAAUUAAUGAGGGUUAUGUGGUUCACCUAUUGGUAACCAAAGAGGCGUUUGCUGUCGUUAAGACAUAAUGAAAAAGUGUAAAGUCGGUCUGCAAUGGUUUGUAUCCGUUCGAGUCGAAAACAACUUAUUGCGUUUGAUAUUUUAUAUUAUUUGAUACAUUUUCAACGCCACACAUUUCUGUUCGUGUUCAUCUUACGGGAAAUUAUUUACUAAUUAUGUUCUGUUUAUUAUUCUAACGAGAAAACCUAUAAACGUAUUUAUUUGGCUGUAGACAUUUAUUUUACAUUAAAGACAAAAAUAUACGGAUUACUCAUAUGAUUUAAGUAAAAAUAAAUUGUUAAAAGUAUCGAGUUGUGUGAACAUAGUGUUGGCCAAGGUUAAAACAGCAGCGCACAUACUCGCCGUUUCGUAAAAAAUAUGUCAAAAAUAAUAGUACACGAGCUUUGAAUUUUGUGUCAAUGUCCUUUCGAAGCGCAGCAUAUGAAAACAAGGAGAGAAGAAUUAAAAAAAAACUUCUAGACAUACCACACAAUGGCUUUGAGAAUAAAUGUUACAGAACUAAAACAAAUUGUAUUACAAUUACAUUACUACGUAUCCUAUCAAUAUAGUGUUAAAAGUCAAUAUAACAACUUAAUUAUCAUCA